rnacentral:rRNA from 1 species
UACAGAGGGUGCGAGCGUUAAUCGGAAUUACUGGGCGUAAAGCGCGCGUAGACGGUUUUGUAAGUCAGAUGUGAAAUCCCUGGGCUCAACCUGGGAACUGCAUUUGAAACUGCAUGGCUAGAGUAUCGAAGAGGGAAGUGGAAUUUCCGGUGUAGCGGUGAAAUGCGUAGAUAUCGGAAGGAACACCAGUGGCGAAAGCGACUUCCUGGUCGAAUACUGACGUUCAUGUGCGAAAGCGUGGGGAGCAAACAGGAUUAGAUACCCUGGUAGUCCACGCCAUAAACGAUGACAACUAGAUGUUGGGAGGGUCUGCCUCUCGGUGUCGCAGCUAACGCGUUAAGUUGUCCGCCUGGGGAGUACGGCCGCAAGGUUGAA